rnacentral:rRNA from 1 species
UUGGGAGCUCACUGGCUUCAAAGUCAUGGGAACUCCGAAGUUAAGCGAGUUGGGGCUAGAACAAUCUCAGGAAGGGUGACCCACUGGAAAGUUGCUCGUGAGUUCCCAGA